rnacentral:rRNA from 2 species
UGCUGCAUGGCUGUCGUCAGCUCGUGUUGUGAAAUGUUGGGUUAAGUCCCGCAACGAGCGCAACCCUUAUCCUUUGUUGCCAGCGGUCCGGCCGGGAACUCAAAGGAGACUGCCAGUGAUAAACUGGAGGAAGGUGGGGAUGACGUCAAGUCAUCAUGGCCCUUACGACCAGGGCUACACACGUGCUACAAUGGCGCAUACAAAGAGAAGCGACCUCGCGAGAGCAAGCGGACCUCAUAAAGUGCGUCGUAGUCCGGAUUGGAGUCUGCAACUCGACUCCAUGAAGUCGGAAUCGCUAGUAAUCGUGGAUCAGAAUGCCACGGUGAAUACGUUCCCGGGCCUUGUACACACCGCCCGUCACACCAUGGGAGUGGGUUGCAAAAGAAGUAGGUAGCUUAACCUUCGGGAGGGCGCUUACCACUUUGUGAUUCAUGACUGGGGUGAAGUCGUAACAAGGUAACCGUAGGGGAACCUGCGGUUGGAUCACCUCCUUACCUUAAAGAAGC